GAUGAACGCUGGCGGCGUGCCUAAUACAUGCAAGUCGAGCGAACGGACGAGAAGCUUGCUUCUCUGAUGUUAGCGGCGGACGGGUGAGUAACACGUGGAUAACCUACCUAUAAGACUGGGAUAACUUCGGGAAACCGGAGCUAAUACCGGAUGAUAUUUUGAACCGCAUGGUUCAAAAGUGAAAGACGGUCUUGCUGUCACUUAUAGAUGGAUCCGCGCUGCAUUAGCUAGUUGGUAAGGUAACGGCUUACCAAGGCAACGAUGCAUAGCCGACCUGAGAGGGUGAUCGGCCACACGGGAACUGAGACACGGUCCAGACUCCUACGGGAGGCAGCAGUAGGGAAUCUUCCGCAAUGGGCGAAAGCCUGACGGAGCAACGCCGCGUGAGUGAUGAAGGUCUUCGGAUCGUAAAACUCUGUUAUUAGGGAAGAACAUAUGUGUAAGUAACUGUGCACAUCUUGACGGUACCUAAGCAGAAAGCCACGGCUAACUACGU
rnacentral:rRNA from 1 species